rnacentral:rRNA from 1 species
UUGAACGCUGGCGGCAUGCCUUACACAUGCAAGUCGAACGGUAACAGGUCUUCGGAUGCUGACGAGUGGCGAACGGGUGAGUAAUACAUCGGAACGUGCCCGAUCGUGGGGGAUAACGAAGCGAAAGCUUUGCUAAUACCGCAUACGAUCUACGGAUGAAAGCAGGGGACCGCAAGGCCUUGCGCGAACGGAGCGGCCGAUGGCAGAUUAGGUAGUUGGUGGGAUAAAAGCUUACCAAGCCGACGAUCUGUAGCUGGUCUGAGAGGACGACCAGCCACACUGGGACUGAGACACGGCCCAGACUCCUACGGGAGGCAGCAGUGGGGAAUUUUGGACAAUGGGCGAAAGCCUGAUCCAGCCAUGCCGCGUGCAGGAUGAAGGCCUUCGGGUUGUAAACUGCUUUUGUACGGAACGAAAAGACUCUGGUUAAUACCUGGGGUCCAUGACGGUACCGUAAGAAUAAGCACCGGCUAACUACGUG